UACUUGAACCAAACGCAGCCUCAACUUAGCAAAUUUCAAAUCAAAAGCGGGCGACUGUCGUCACAACUGUCCAAAUAAAGGAUCACGAAACCUGCGUAGCUUAGAGCCAAAAAACUGGAUUUUUUUAUUCGUUUACAUUUUGAAUUGGCAAUUACGCAUGAAGACUUACUUUACAUAUAAAACUCGCAUAAAUUCUCAAAUUCACUGUCCUUCCCGGGAGCUCUCACUUGCCGGCGCGGUUUAAUCGGAGUCUUUCCCGCCAGAUAACGUUUCAGAAGAUGUCUUGUUCGUCGGAAAGCGUUGUUCCUACUCUCAGAACUGUCACCAUUUCUUACUCCGAGCUUAAGGACAAGAACGCUGACUUGUCGGUGAAAAUUGAACAAGGGUUUGGAGCAAACGGGCUAGGAAUCCUCGCCGUUACAGACGUUCCAGGGUUUUCUUCAUUGCGUCAGAAUCUUCUGCAGCUUGCACCCAGAUUAGCUAGUCUGCCUGAAGAGGCAAAGAAGGAUCUUGAAGAUCAUCAUAGCAGGUAUAACUUUGGAUGGAGUCAUGGAAAGGAGAAGCUUGAAUCUGGAAAGCCUGAUAUGUUGAAGGGUUCCUUCUAUGCAAAUCCAGUAUUGGAUGUACCUACAACUGACCCAUCUCUGAUACAAUGGUAUCCAUCCUAUUGUGGUUCAAAUAUAUGGCCUGAUAGUGCAUUGCCAGAACUUGAAGGGGCUUUCAAAAGUCUUGGAAAGCUGAUCCUAGAUGUUGGACUGAUGGUGGCAUUUCAUUGUGAUCAAUAUGUGUCUAAAGGGAUGAAAAUGAAUGUGGAUGAAGGCCUUGAGCAAAUACUUCUUCGCUCUCGGUGUCACAAAGGUCGUUUGCUUUAUUACUUUCCAACACAACAGAGCAAUCAUGUCCAAGAUGGUGACUCCAUGUCAUCUUGGUGUGGAUGGCAUACAGACCAUGGCUCAUUGACAGGUCUGACCUGUGGUAUGUUUACAAGAGACGGUAUUGUAAUACCUUGUCCUGAUAAUGCUGCUGGCCUCUAUAUAAGAACAAGGACUGAUGAAAUUGUCAAAGUUGUCUUUGGAGAAGAUGAGAUAGCAUACCAAAUUGGUGAGACAACCCAAAUACUGUCAAGAGGUUUUCUGUGUGCAACACCUCAUUGUGUCCGGGCACCAAAAGGGAGGGAUGUUUCUGGCGUUGACAGAUCCACAUUUGCAUUAUUUAUGCAACCAGACUGGGACGAAAAGCUUAAUUUUCCAGAGGAGGUGUGCAUUCAUAAAGAGACAUGCUUCUGAGGCUCACUUAGUAAUGAUUGUGGGCCAAGUGGGCUGAUUACAGCAUGGUCCGUCGUGCCUCGACUCGCUAGCAAGACAAGGCUUAUGACUGUGCUCUCGUUGACCGUGUCAAAAUGGAGGGCUUGGCUCAGACCCCUACCAUGUCUUGACUCACUCCUUCAAAAGUAGGAAGCCAAUAAAACAGUUUAAAAAAAAAAAAAUUUAAGUCACUCAAAGGGAAUGGAAAAAGUAUGACUUGAUUCAUGUUAGCUGAUUAAAUUCACAACAUGCAUUUGAGUGGAUGGAUUAUUGGAAAACUUUGUCAAUGUCUAGCAUGAUCAACUUGCAUAUUAAAUAUUUCUUGUUAUAUUGCAUUAGGGAUCCAUCAAUUUGUUGAAUAUAAUUGUAGUUAAAUCAACUUUCUUUUCCUGUUUAAAUCUCAGGUGAUACCAUCAAAUGGCACUCUUACGUUUGGAGAAUACUCGGAGAAACUUUUGGACAAGUAUUACCA